GCUUACGGCCAUACCACCAUGAAUACGCCUGAUCUCGGAAGCUAAGCAGCAUCAGACCUGGUUAGUACCUCGAUAGGAGACCCCCUGGGAAUAGCAAGUGCUGUAACCU
rnacentral:rRNA from 1 species